UUUCCUUCAUGCUAAAAUCGGACAUAAUACGGUUUUCUGUGCGGUUAAUUGUACUAACUAAGAAGUCUGAGCUCUAGCUUUCCGUGAAAGUGACAUUCUAGUAGGCUAUUCUUUCAUUUAGGUGUUAGCACUAGCAGGAAUCGAUGUAUGUGCUCACCAUACCUAGCUUGUUAGCUUAGCUUUUGUACUAAAAAGCACUCUAAAGACUCUGCUCUUCUUUCCCCCGGUCCUGCUGCAGUCUCAGCUGAACACAGUGAAACACCCACAGGAUCCCCGCACCCUGCCUGCUGCUGUUACUACUGCACCGCUGAGAGCCGAGAGGCCAUGCAACAAGUGACGGCUUGGAAAGAGGCAGAAGAGAGAGAGAGAAU
rnacentral:lncRNA from 1 species